CGCGCUGUCCUUGCGGGCCUCCGUAGUAAGGUGGUUUCACACAUGCGCAGUAGGUAGCAUGUGGCUAUCUGCAGCUGAGAACACGUUUGUUUAUCUGCACGUCAGCGGCUGUUAGAGGAUAACAUGACAAUGAAACAGAAUACGAGACAUAAAAAAGUUCGAAGCAGCAACAAGAAAGCUGAGGACACCUGUAAUAACGAUAUUCAGCCUGAAGUGGUGGAGAGCAGAGAUGAAGAAGGUAAAUGGA